rnacentral:tRNA from 1 species
GGGUCGUUAGCUCAUCAGGCAGAGCACCGGCCUUUUAAGCCGGUGGCGGUUGGUUCGAGUCCAACACGACCCA